GUAGGUGGCAAGCGUUGUCCGGAAUUAUUGGGCGUAAAGCGCGCGCAGGCGGUCCUUUAAGUCUGAUGUGAAAGCCCACGGCUCAACCGUGGAGGGUCAUUGGAAACUGGGGGACUUGAGUACAGAAGAGGAAAGCGGAAUUCCAAGUGUAGCGGUGAAAUGCGUAGGGAUUUGGAGGAACACCAGUGGCGAAGGCGGCUUUCUGGUCUGUAACUGACGCUGAGGCGCGAAAGCGUGGGGAGCAAACAGGAUUAGAUACCCUGGUAGUCCACGCCGUAAACGAUGAGUGCUAAGUGUUAGGGGGUUUCCCGCCCCCUUAGUGCUGCAGCUAACGCAUUAAGCACUCCGCCUGGGGAGUACGGCCGCAAGGCUG
rnacentral:rRNA from 1 species